rnacentral:rRNA from 1 species
GAUGAACGCUGGCGGCGUGCCUAAUACAUGCAAGUCGAGCGAAUGGAUUAAGAGCUUGCUCUUAUGAAGUUAGCGGCGGACGGGUGAGUAACACGUGGGUAACCUGCCCAUAAGACUGGGAUAACCCCGGGAAACCGGGGCUAAUACCGGAUAACAUUUUGAACCGCAUGGUUCGAAAUGGACAGGCGGCUUCGCCUGUCAUUUAUGGAUGGACCCGCGUCGGAUUAGCUGGUUGGUGGGGUAACGGCUCACCAAGGCAACGAUCCGUAGCUGACCUGAGAGGGUGAUCGGCCACACUGGGAGUGAGACACGGCCCAGACUCCUACGGGAGGCAGCAGUAGGGAAUCUUCCGCAAUGGACGAAAGUCUGACGGAGCAACGCCGCGUGAGUGAUGAAGGCUUUCGGGUCGUAAAACUCUGUUGUUAGGGAAGAACAAGUGCUAGUUGAAUAAGCUGGCACCUUGACGGUACCUAACCAGAAAGCCACGGCUAACUACGUGCCAGCCGCCGCCGUAA